UUGCCACGAACAAAAUGUCUUCCCAGCAAAACGUAGACAGCGAAUUGCUAGUCCUUUGUCAGUCUCUAGUCCCUUGUCAUCAGUAGAAAUUGGACUUGACAGAUUGAUCACUAUAUUUUGAAGAUAGGAAUAAUGUUUGCUUAUAUCAUCCCGUCCUUCUCAGUGAUCUAUGUGGAUUUACGACAAGUUAGAAUUCAGUUCCUUGAUAAAGAAGACCAAGACAGUGCUAGUGACUCUCCUGUUGUAAUGAUGGAUGCCUUCAUCAGAGCUGAUCCCGAGCUAGACAAAAUAGUACCUCCUUUCACUAUUCAACUCAAAGAUUACUGCUUCGUAUCGGUGGAAGAGUUUUGCAAACGUGUGUAGUCUACGUCAAACACCUUGAAUCUACACCAGAUGGACUCUUCAUUAUCUGGGGAUGGACAGAAGAGAGUAUGGAUGAGAAAAAUGCCUCUGAUGACGAUCCAGCGUUGAUGUCUGACAGUUUGUCAACAGAAUCAGAUAAAAGUGAUGACGAGUGUGCAGUCUCAAAGAAAUUAGCACCGUUAAUUUUAAGUGUGUUGGUGUCACUCGUGACCCCUUGUAUCAAGAAACUUUGAAGCUAGCAUUUGAUAUGUUGAUCAACGAAAAAAGAUGUUCCAGUGAGAUUAAAUCCCGAACCUAACAAUCCGUAUGAUUCUCAUGCAGUGGCAUUUGAGUGUAAGAUAAUUGCUGGCUGUUGGAAGGUGUUUGGGUAUGUACCCAAGGAACUGUGUGAUUUUGUAUUGAGUGCUAUCGACAAGGGGGACAUUCUUAACGUUGAAUUUUCAUGGAUUAAAUAUAAAAUUAUUCGAAGUACCACUCUAGUAUGUGCACUGCAACUUCUGUCAGAUCUACUUCCAUUCCCAGUUCUUCUGCGUUUAGUUCUGUUCAUUGCAUUGUUUAUUUCAGAGGUUAUUUGGGGUUAAUCUCUCCAAGUGUGUUGUUAGUAGAAGUACUUGCUUGGUACCAAAUAUCAACUGCUAAUUGUGUACGGUAUUGAAGUAAUACAAGAGCCAAAUCCAAUAUGUUUUCAAUGUAAAAACAGAGCAACAAAACUAAUUAAAAUGGAUCUCGUGACCGUGUCGCACCUCCUCUGGACUAGCAAGCUCUGAUUGGACGGGGCAGAAGAAAAAGGGACUGGUGACUCUGGGCUACAGCUUCUGUCUCUACCAGAAUUUGGGUAGAGAUUAUUCAUUGAUUUUUCCACGUGAUCCAAAAAUUGAAUGUACAAUAUCUGCAUUCCUUCCAGUAGAAUUGCAUAGCCUGCAAAAGUGAUCGCGCGGGCUUCUUAGCUACAGUUUGAGAAUGGAUGCUAGUGUUAGAAAAGAGAAGAUUGAUGGAGUAAUAACGACAUCAGGCAUUCAGAUAUUCAGAUAUUCAGAUAUUGUCAUCUAAGACACUAGCAGAGAUUAGCUUAGCCUCGAUCCCAGGCACUAUAGUUGUUUGCCUAACCGUUAUAAAAGCGAAAACUCGGCCUGGUAUCGAGGCUAAGCAGUUUUACGUGAUGAGAACUGGCAGCCAAAAGUCAGUGUGUUAUUGGUUGCCUAAAGCUUUUAAUAACGUGUACAAUACAAGACAGAUAAUGGCAGAGGGCAGCAGUUAGAUAGAUAGAUAAAUUUUCAUUUGAAUAGGAAUGCUGCAUCCACCAUAAUGGUAGGUUUUCAUGCAGGUCCUAUAUAAAAGAAAAGGAGAAAAAAAAUACAAAACAUACAUGUAGAUAAUUAAUUCAUAUAUGACAGGUGUUCUCCUAGAUUGUAAUGUGUAGGGUUUUCAGGGAGGUUUUGAACGACUUUAAGGUGGGGCAUGAUUUUGAGGAUAGCGGGAGACGGUUGUAGUGCAGAGGACCUGAGUAUUCAAAGCUCCUUCUGUAGUGUUCUGAGUUUGGCUGGCCUAGGUGGAUAUUACCUGAUCCAUGGGUCCCAGUGUACAGUUUCGAGUUGAGUUUAAACUUAUUCAUCAGGUAAGGAGGGGCGUGGUUCAGCAGACAUCUGUGAACUAGAGUGAGCAUAGACCUCUGCCGCCUUUCUUGGAGUGUAGUCCAGCCAAGUUGGUCCCUGAGGGGUGAGCUGCUAGUGCGUGGAGGUUUUCCCAAUAUCACACGCAUUGAAUUGAGAGUAGUCAAACUUGUACAAGCUUAGCCUCGAUCCCAGGCCGAGUUUUCGCUUUUAUAACGGUUAGGCGAACAACUGGGCCUGGUACUAGUUGUCUGCGCAUGCGUCAAUCGUUCGUCAGAUUCUGACGAAUGGAUAUUCUCGUUCACUUUCGUGACAUUUAUAUUCGUGUACUAUCGUGUACUAGAAGUCAGUUCCCGUUUUAUCAUUAUUGGAAUCGAUUGGAAUGGCUCUUAGCUGAAGCUUCUCUCUUCUCUGAAGCUUAUUCUGAAGACUGAACAACAAGGGAAGAGGUAUAAAGCUUUGUCAAGCUUGUUAAGGUCAGAUAUUUUUGUGUGGGCCCUAUGGCCGGCUAUGCUAUCAAGUUAAGUCUUGUUCAUGUUUGGCAAGAAUGUAGGUAGACUAUAGUUUCAUCAUUAAUAUGGUGGAUCAAGUGAAGAGUGUGAGCUAGAGAACUUGGUGCUGCCAUCAUCAGCUCGUCGACAAUGACACUAUAACCGAGAAAUUUAAUAUGUAUAGAUCUACACGUAUUUAAAAUGUCUACUUCUCUGUACAGGAGCAAUGGCUAAUAUCCAGCUAUCCCAACAGUGCUCCUCUUGGCUAUACUAACGGACGAGACUGGACAGUUUGAGACACAGGACUGGAGUAUGACCUGUUCAUUCGAGCGUUGCUGGGUAGCUCAGAGACAUCAAGAGAAUCUACGUUUUCUCAAGCAAUGAGUUACGAGUUGGGGCCUAGAAUCAGAGAAGUCCAGCAGCCUACUAAAUCUUUUUGAAACGUAAUUUGAAGGCAUUCAAUCAUCCUGAAGUUGCCCUGGGUCACUGUAAUUGUGCUGCAGCACAACUGGCAACUCCCCAGGCCUUUGUGAAGCAGCUCCCUAUGUGCAUCUUUUGUGUACUCACUCUGUGCAUUUUCUGUGUACAAAUUUCUAUUAUUGAUUUAUUAAAUAUUUUUGCCGACCACAAAUAUACAAUGAAAAUUUGACGCAUGCGCAGACAACUAGUACCAGGCCC